CCCAUGGUCACCUGGUCACAUUGCCUGAGCUACAGGUUGGGGAGAGAGUGAGAGAGUCCCAGGCAGUCUGUGCUGCUGUACAGAAUCUCCUGAACUCUGUGUGGAUCGUUCUGCUGCUGCUUCACUGCUCUGGAUAUCUCCCACUCAUUCUUAGGUAUGAGCAGAAAGCUUCAUAAAUAUGAAUGCCACGAGUCUUCUAAAGCAUUUGAUGACCAAUAUGAAUAAGACUAUCAAAGCAUGCGGCAUGUAUCGACCAGAGCCUUCAGAUUGUUCAGUCAGAUUGUUGAGCUUACAAAUGACUAAUUUUAUUUGAAUCGUUUACUGUUAUGUGUGUAAUUCCAUCAGGAAUAAGCAUUUCUUCUACUCUUUAUGACAAACUGGAGAAAAGGUUCUUUCUAUUAUCCCCACAUCAGCUCCUGUGUUGUUCCAUUUCAUGACAUUUUAAGAACUGUAGAAUUUAUUAUAUAUUUCUAUAUAUUCCUUUAAUGUUUCUCCCUUUCUGAAUUCAGAGAAAUGUGUUUGACAUUUGUGACUGUUUGAUAAAUGGUGCAAAUUAGACUGUCUUUUACCUUUCACAAGUCUAUUGUAUGUGAAUCUGUAUAAUUGUAAACUGAAUCACAAAGUUCAACUUUUUAAAUACCAGUUCAGCUAGUACUCUAUUAGAGUGUUUCAUUGUAUGUCAGCCACACGAUUCGUAGAUAAUGCAAUGAUUGUACAUUCCGUAGAAAAGGCCAAGGCAUAAGAAAAAUGUAAAUGGAAAGUCACAUUGUUAUAUUAAAAGGAAUUAUAAUUUGGAAUUUUGAUAGGAAUUGAGCAUUUAAGCUGCAGGUAUCACAACACCCACAUAUACCUGUGAGAGUGACCUCAAUAUGAUUUGACUGUGUUCAGUUCUCCAUGUUCCAGAAAGACUUCCUCAGUAAUUCUGAAACCUCCUUCAGUAUUAGUGAGGAUAAACUCUGUGCAUAAGUUAGCUACUUUGGUAGCCUGGUCUCUGGACACUUUUUUAAGAGACUUCUUUAAAAAGAAAACUCUUUAUACAACAUUAAUUCAAUUAAAAUGAAUAAUGCUUCUCAAAAGACUGCUGCAAACAACUAGAUAACUGAUCAUGUUUCGAGCCUAAGAGCUGCACAACAAAAAAAAAAAAUUAAUUCAUUAAAGAACUACAAAAUGAAAAAAAAUUCAUAGAAUAGUGUUGUCUUCAUU